CAAUAAAAAACGAGGGUCAGAGAGGUGAAACUGCCCAAGGCCCUACCCUAGUCAUUGGCCCUGCUGAGAUCUGCCCAUUGGUCUGGGUGACUCUUAAGCAUCACUUUAUAACUGGGUGAACCUUUGGUUCAGUUCUGCAUUUUGAGGGCUUUGCACUCUGGGAUCCCGAACAGAGUGUGGGACCUGGGGCUGUCAGGGCUGAGUAUCUGGAUUUAAGGUGCUUUAUGCCGAACACUGAAUCCCCAUUCCCUCCUGAUCCCCCGUCAACCAGCUAGAGGGGUGACUCACACAGUCUUGGCAGCUGGUGGCCUUUUUCUUUUCAGCAGACUAGCAGGACAGAGUGGAGGGUUAUGGAGAUUUAUCUUUUGGCUUCUCUUUUACCCAAACAGACUGGAUCAACCAGGUGUACCUGCCAGAAAACCACGCUCGGCUCAGGGCUGCCCAUACCUAUGUCUCGGAAGAGCUCAGGACCCUGGGCAUCCCCUUCCUGAGGCGUGGGGCAGGCUUCUUCAUCUGGGUUGACUUGAGAAAGUACCUGCCCAAGAACACCUUUGAGGAGGAAAUGCUGCUUUGGCGCCGCUUCUUGGACAACAAGGUGCUGCUGUCCUUCGGCAAGGCCUUUGAGUGUAAAGAGCCUGGCUGGUUCCGCUUUGUCUUCUCAGACAAGGCCCACCGGCUUUGCCUGGGGAUGCAGAGGGUCCGGCAGGUGCUUGAGGGCAAAUCCCAAGUGGCAGAAGACCCCCCUCCCUGUCAGACCCAGGAACCAGGUGACCAGCACCGGUGAGC